GAGAAGGUGCCAGGCAGUGUCCCCUUUAUGACAGAAAUCAAGAAAUCCUUUUGAUUAAUCAGUAUGGCUUUGGUUGUGUUUUUCUGUAUUCUUCUCAGCUUCUGUGCAGGUGUCGAUUCCCAGCCAACAGUGACUCAACCUGCCUCCCAAUCGGUGUCUCCUGGACAAACAACAACCCUUUCCUGCUCCAAAAGCAGUGGCAGCUGGGGCAGUUACGUUUACUGGCUUCAACAGAAACCUGGGCAACCGCCUCGCUUUGUCCAUUGCGAUGGCUGUAGCAGCAGAGGAGCAGGGAUCCCCGACCGCUUCACUGCCUCUGCUUCAGGGAACUCGGGAUCUCUAAGAAUCACCAACGUUGAGGCUGGAGACGAGGCCAUUUAUUACUGCUAUGUCUGGUCUAGCAGUGCUCGCGUCUUCCACGGUGGUUCAUCCUGACAGGGAACUGAGACA